rnacentral:rRNA from 1 species
UACGUAGGUGGCAAGCGUUGUCCGGAUUUACUGGGCGUAAAGAGCUCGUAGGCGGUCUGUCACGUCUGCUGUGAAAACUCGGGGCUUAACCCCGGGCCUGCAGUGGGUACGGGCAGACUAGAGUGCGGUAGGGGAGACUGGAAUUCCUGGUGUAGCGGUGAAAUGCGCAGAUAUCAGGAGGAACACCGGUGGCGAAGGCGGGUCUCUGGGCCGUAACUGACGCUGAGGAGCGAAAGCGUGGGGAGCAAACAGG